rnacentral:tRNA from 1 species
GCCUUCGUGGUGUAGUGGUCAGCACGCUCGGCGCGUAUUCGAGAGGUCCAUGGUUCGAGUCCCGGCGAGGGUA